rnacentral:rRNA from 1 species
UACGGGGGGAGCAAGCGUUGUUCGGAUUUACUGGGCGUAAAGGGCGCGUAGGCGGUUAGUUUAGUCAGAGGUGAAAGCCCAGGGCUCAACCCUGGAAUUGCCUUUGAUACUGGCUAUCUUGAGUUCGGGAGAGGUGAGUGGAAUGCCGAGUGUAGAGGUGAAAUUCGUAGAUAUUCGGCGGAACACCAGUGGCGAAGGCGACUCACUGGCCCGAUACUGACGCUGAGGCGCGAAAGCGUGGGGAGCAAACAGG